rnacentral:rRNA from 1 species
GACGAACGCUGGCGGCGUGCUUAACACAUGCAAGUCGAACGAAGAGCGAUGGAAGCUUGCUUCUAUCAAUCUUAGUGGCGAACGGGUGAGUAACGCGUAAUCAACCUGCCCUUCAGAGGGGGACAACAGUUGGAAACGACUGCUAAUACCGCAUACGAUCUAAACUCGGCAUCGAGGAUAGAUGAAAGGUGGCCUCUACAUGUAAGCUAUCACUGAAGGAGGGGAUUGCGUCUGAUUAGCUAGUUGGAGGGGUAACGGCCCACCAAGGCGAUGAUCAGUAGCCGGUCUGGGGGGAGUAACGGCCACAUUGGGACUGGGACACGGCCCAGACUCCUACGGGAGGCAGCAGUGGGGAAUCUUCCGCAAUGGAAGAAAGUCUGACGGGGCAACGCCGCGUGAGGGAUGACGGCCUUCGGGUUGUAAAGCUCUGUUAAUCGGGACGAAAGGCCUUCUUACGAAUAGUGGGAAGGAUUGACGGUACCGGAAUAGAAAGCCACGGCUAACUACGUG